rnacentral:rRNA from 1 species
AACGUAGGACGCAAGCGUUAUCCGGAGUUACUGGGCGUAAAGGGGGGCAGGCGGCUUGUCAAGUGGGAUGUCAAAGCGCACAGCUUAACUGAGCGAGGCCAUUCCAAACUGAUGAGCUGGAGGGCAGUAGAGGUAGGCGGAAUUCCGGGUGGAGUGGUGAAAUGCGUAGAGAUCCGGAGGAACACCGGAGGCGAAGGCGGCCUACUGGGCUGCACCUGACGCUGAGCCGCGAAAGCCAGGGGAGCGAACGGG